CUUUAUUUAAACUUAUAAAUAUCGCCCUUUUGGCUAUGAAAUAACACCUUUUUGUUUCGUUGCGAUAAUAAAUUUAACAAGACGCCUACUCAGGCGUUCACUCCGCCUGCCGGCCUGCGGAGAAAAUGGGGACAAUGUAGGGUGCGACGGAAAAGUGAAGCCAAAUAUAAGCAUUCAAAGACAAGUUGGUGUUCAUAGCAUUCAAAGAUAAGUUGGCAUUCAUGGCAUUCAAGGUUAAGUUGGCAUUCAUGGCAUUCAAAUUUAACUUGGCAUUCAAAGGAGCAAUGGCAUUUACACACUUCUUUGAAUUUUCAUAAGAAAGUGCCAUAACCUAUAAGAGACAGAAAUAGGAUAUUAAUUCUGACACACCAAUUCUGUUUGGCCCAUCAUUGUAAUAAUAGAGGCCCAAAAAGCAUGUUUGAGUGGCUUGGUAGGUAUUCUGCCCAGAGUCCUAGUAGGGUUGAAUUAAAUACAUUACACAACACAUAGUAUCUAUUAACACACAAGGGCAGUAGAAAGAGCAAAGCAAGCAAACCCAAGCUGGCUGUGAGUUCAAGAAGC